GAUGAACGCUGGCGGCGUGCUUAACACAUGCAAGUCGAACGAAGCACUUUUACAGAUUUCUUCGGAAUGAAGUUUUAGUGACUGAGUGGCGGACGGGUGAGUAACGCGUGGGUAACCUGCCUCACACAGGGGGAUAACAGUUGGAAACGGCUGCUAAUACCGCAUAAGCGCACAGUACCGCAUGGUACAGUGUGAAAAACUCCGGUGGUGUGAGAUGGACUCGCGUCCAAUUAGCUAGUUGGUGAGGUAAUGGCCCACCAAGGCGACGAUCGGUAGCCGGACUGAGAGGUUGAACGGCCACAUUGGGACUGAGACACGGCCCAGACUCCUACGGGAGGCAGCAGUGGGGAAUAUUGCACAAUGGGGGAAACCUUGAUGCAGCGACGCCGCGUGGAGGAAGAAGGUCUUCGGAUUGUAAACUCCUGUUGUUGGGGAAGAUAAUGACGGUACCCAACAAGGAAGUGACGGCUAACUACGUG
rnacentral:rRNA from 1 species